rnacentral:sRNA from 1 species
AGGUGGUACAGAUGAUGAUGAUGAUGGUUUAUCUAAUGGCAAGUAGUUAGAGAUGGCCGAUGAGAUGGUAGUAGACUGGUCUGUGACCAUGACCUCUGUUUCAGACCAGUCUACUACCAUCUCAUCAGCCAUCUCUAACUACUUGCCAUUAGAUAAACCAUCAUCAUCAUCAUCUGUA